CUUGGUGGAAGCAAAAUGGAUUGAUCUCACAGAAGUGAGACUGCAUCUCACAGAAGUGCAGACUGAAUAGUGGUGACCAGAGGCUGGGUGGAGAGGCAGAUGGAGAAGUAUUGGCCAAAAGGUACAAAAUUACAGUGAUGGGGCCAGCGCUGUGGCAUAGUAGGUUAAGCCUCUGCCUGCGGCACCCACAUCCCACGUGGGCCCCGGUUUGAGUCACAGCUGUUCUACUUCAUAUUCAGCUCCCUGCAAACGUGCCUGGGAAAGCAGUAAAAGAUGGCCCAAGUGCUUGGGCCCCUGCACCUGUGUGGGAGACCCAGAAGAAGCUCUUGGCUCCUGGCUUUGGAUUGGCCCAGCCCUGGCUGUUGCAGCCAUUUGGGGAGUGAACCAGAGGAUGGAAGAGCGCACUCUGUCUGUAACUGUGCCUCUCAAAUAAGUAAAUACAUCUUUUUUUAAAAAAAUUACAGUGACACAGGAGAGCUAAUGUCUGUGUUAUAGCACAGCAGAGUGAUGAUAUUUAAUAGUAACUUACUGUACAUUUCAAAAGAGCUGGGAGAGAGGAUUUUGAAUGUUCUCAGCACAAAGAAGUGAUCAGUGUUUUAGGUGAUGGGUAUAUGAAUUGCCCCAAUUUGGUCAUUACACAUUGUGCCCGUGUAUCAAAAUGUCACCAUGCACCCCCCAUAAUAUGUACCAUGUUAAUGUGUCAGUUACAAAUCAAGAGUCCCCAUCUCGGGGGUGGGGGUGAGUCUUCAAGCUCACGAUAAAUCUUUCCUGGCCCCUGUUUCGCUCCUUUUUGGCCAACACAUCUUCUAUGUUGGUGGCAAUUACAGGACAGCGUGGUCCUCUGCUCAUCGUUGUGAGGUCUCGAUGAGAAGAAACGUUUGCUCCAGAAAUGUAGGAAAGGAACCGUUUCCUCCCAGAUUUGAAAACUUCCAAGUGUGAUACAGAAUAGUUUGAAAACUAGUUAGUCAUGCACAUUAGUUAAGAUGUUUUUUCCCCCUCUCCAAACAGCAGAGACCAGUUCUGGCUGGUUUCAUCUAAAGAAGAAUUUUUGGAAGAAAACUGGGCAAUUGGAAAAGAAAGCAUGGGUGUGUCUGCAGACCCCACAGUGGGUGAACUUGAGCCUCUCCCCAGUCUCCCCAGUUCUCCAGUUUUUCCCAACUUGGCAUUUGGACUGUCCCAUAAGUGACACAAAAGGCAUCAGCUCCCCAUCAUGGUGAGGUUCCAGUGAGGCAGAGCUGCUAACGUUAGACCUGGCCCUGGAAGGAGCUGCUUCCUCCAUCCGAACCUCGGCAGCUCCCGGUUGGCGGUCAGUGGCAUGACCUUCACCACCGCCCGCCCCUCCUUGCCACCUCACGUCAGGGUGGCAUCAGCAUCCUCGCUUCUCGGCUGUCUACAGCUGCAUCACAGGUCCUGGGUCAGCAUCCUGUCUCCGGCGCUUGAAGAGGAGUCUGGCCGAGGCAGACGGUCGGUCUUUGCCGAAUGUAUGAAUGAAUGAAUGAGAAGCAGGUGUCUCCAUCUUCCAGGGGAGGGAGGACUGUGCCCUGUCAGUGAGUUCCACAAAGUGGCAGAGUAGGUGGGCGGCUCGCUGAGUGCUCCGCUCCCGCCCCCAGGGAAGCAACACUGGCUCCCAGAGCAGGUGGCUUGGCGGCACCAGGGUCAGUGGUCUCAAUCCUAACAGCCGUGUUCUCUGCAACUCGCUGUGUCUGUGACAUUCUGGGGGAAGCUCCCCCCAGGUUUAAGCAUGUCCUUCGAGUGGUUUUGCCUCUCUCCUUCUAAGCAAACAUAAAGUCAUCUUUUUAAACGGCAUUACAAAAGAGGUCAGCUCACCGCCCUCGGCCCUGCGUGCACACGCGGAUGGGCCCGCGCACAGCCAUGCGGGAGCCGCUGAGGGCGCUGCUCUUGUUCCCUCCCAAGCACGCGAGCUCCACCAUUUCCUAAUGGGGGUGGGGGCGCUGAUGUCCCAUGAUUGGAAGAUGUCACCCUGUGUGACUAAUUUACCGGCAGGGCCUAAUUGAAGCUUGGCGUCACCUGCGGCUCCCGGGCCGUCUUUCCGCCGAGGUGCGGGGGAGGCGCCGUGGCCGGGAGCCAGGCACGGGAGUGGUGGGCGAUGUGUUACUCCUCCGUCUCUUAGCACUGCGGAAGGACUGGAUGGGACAUCAGCUGCGGUUGAAAUGGGCUUGGCUGUAAAGGGAAACUCGGGCUGGACUAGCCGGUGUG
rnacentral:lncRNA from 1 species